GGCCCUCGUUAAGUCAUCCUCCCUCACACGUUCUCACAUCUCCGCUUCCACUUGCCAACUCCCGAUCCCCAGCCGUCUUCAAUACACCUUAACCCUAGCACCAUCCACCGCAACCGAAAGCGCCGCCGCAGAUCUCAUGGAAACAGCCAUCCACGUCCCUUCUUCUCCGUUUCCCCCUCUCAUGGUACAUAUUUCUCAAGUCUCCACCGCUCAGAUCUGACCCCUCUUUACCUCUGAUUCUAUUCCCAUCAGAUCGAGCCAUGUGCGGUUUCUGGCCACACCUCCAUGAGACGGGCAAACCUCCAGCCUGGAGUGGAGUAAGGGGCUCACAGACCUCGGUCUGCCGUGCGUGCAGCAACGUCAGGCGAACCACAACCCCCAAGGUCGAGGUCGACGAGCCAUGGUGGUCUGGCAUCCGGUUACACGUCUGCAUCGCGCGCUCCAGUCUACGUCCUCCCAGAAAAUAAUCUGUACUGAUGGUAGAGGGGGACAAGUCCUCGGAGAAUGCUCUCCGAAGGUUGCUGCAGGACAAUAGUCUCCAAGAAACUAAUAUUACUUAUAUCUUUUACAUUUAUGAUCUAGUCAUCUGCUGUUCAAACAGGCCCAAAAGAUCAGCAAGGACUACUAUAUUCAGAUAUCAGAAAUGUACAUUAGAAGGCAUGACAUGAGAAGGAAGAUAUAUAGGAUUAGUUAGAAUAUCCUAUUUUGAAGCAAGAUUGUGUUAGUUGAAUGCAAGGAGGACAAUGUCGUUGAUGCUGGAUAAUCUACUUCACACCUCUGCAUGUUUAGUUAUCUCGUAGAAGGGCAGUGAUGUUGUAAACAAAAUUGUUUAUAUAAUGUACCACGUGGAUGGUGUUCCUCUUUUAAUGAAAUGUUUUUAAUACAAUAUAUAAUAUGGUUCACUUCUCUAUAAAUAGGUAUAUCGAUUUUUCUCA